rnacentral:rRNA from 1 species
GACGAACGCUGGCGGCGUGCUUAACACAUGCAAGUCGAACGGAAAGGCUCCAGCUUGCUGGAGUACUCGAGUGGCGAAAGGGUGAGUAACACGUGGGUAAUCUGCCCUGCACUCUGGGAUAAGCCUGGGAAACUGGGUCUAAUACUGGAUAUGACCUUUCUCCUUAUGGGGUUUGGUGGAAAGUUUUUCGGUGUAGGAUGAGCCCGCGGCCUAUCAGCUUGUUGGUGGGGUGAUGGCCUACCAAGGCGACGACGGGUAGCCGGCCUGAGAGGGUGAUCGGCCACAUUGGGACUGAGAUACGGCCCAGACUCCUACGGGAGGCAGCAGUGGGGAAUAUUGCACAAUGGGCGGAAGCCUGAUGCAGCGACUCCGCGUGAUGGAUGACGGCCUUCGGGUUGUAAACCUCUUUCAGCAGGGACGAAGCGUAAGUGACGGUACCUGCAGAAGAAGCACCGGCUAACUAUGUG